CUUUAAACACAUCCCAACCCAAAGUAUAAGCGCCCACCUAGUCAUAUCUAGUCCGAAAAAUGCGAACUAGAACUACAUGAGACACUAUCUCUGUCGUUACGAACCUAACACUUUCUACAAGGCUUAAUCGGAAUAAGACCUCACAAACACUCACAAGUGAUAUAGGGCUUGAAAGAAAGUCUAGGUUUGGGUUUGGGUUAACUGCUCUAAUAAGGAGAGUCAGCUACUUGGAUUAACAAGAGUGAUCAAAAUGAAUAAGAAAAUCCAAGUAUUUUAGGGUAUCCAUGAGUUCAAAUUUGAUGCAGACAUGAUAAUUAAAGAUCAGAUUCAGGUUCAAAUGGAUAGGGAAUGUUAUCAGAUCAUGACAAUGUGGUCGUGUAGAGCAGUCUAGGCAUGGUUCAGUUUUAUUUCAAAUUCAUUGAUUAUGCAACAGACAACAAGCAACGAGGGCACUGAGUUUAUCCGGUGAACCAAAAUGCUUACAAGGCUAUCUCAUCAUUAUCCCCUAUGCACAUGCAACAAUCCUAAAUGAAACACUCUAGACUCAAUCCUAAAUGUAAUGCAAUUACAUGAACACUCUUUUUUUGUGAAAUCAUUUUCUU
rnacentral:sRNA from 1 species